GUGGGUGUAGCUCAAUGGUAGAGCACAUGCUUAGCAUGCAGGAGGUCCUGGGUUCAAUCCCCAGUACCGCCA
rnacentral:tRNA from 1 species